UCGGGUGUGGUGCAUGGUGCACGGCAGUGGUAUUUCCGAGAUGAACCCGAAUGUAAGCUGGAGGACGGGGUUCGACUCUCCGCACCCGAA